rnacentral:rRNA from 1 species
UACGGAGGAUCCAAGCGUUAAUCGGAAUUACUGGGCGUAAAGCGUGCGCAGGCGGCCUUGCAAGACAGAUGUGAAAUCCCCGGGCUCAACCUGGGAACUGCAUUUGUGACUGCAAGGCUGGAGUACGGCAGAGGGGGAUGGAAUUCCGCGUGUAGCAGUGAAAUGCGUAGAUAUGCGGAGGAACACCGAUGGCGAAGGCAAUCCCCUGGGCCUGUACUGACGCUCAUGCACGAAAGCGUGGGGAGCAAACAGG